CCCACCUCCCCGUCCUUCCUGCGGGAACAGGGAAGCUAAUUACCACCACGUCCACUAUCGUACGUUGGGACAAAACAACAGUCUCCAGCCGGGGGGGCAGAACAAUGGAUGAGUGUCAGUGCUCAGCUGAUGACGGAGUGAGACCUCUCCUGAUGGAACCAGACCAGCAUGUGAUCGCCGUCAUCAUCAAUUACAGUGAAUCAUCAUCAUCAUAAUUAUUAUUAUUAUUAUUAUUAUUAUUAUUUCUGCUGGGAGCUGCACUUCCUGCCUGUGGGCUUCCGAUCGGAUUACACUCGGGCUUUUAAUCUGACAGCUGAGUCAGAAAAACACUUAGGGGGCCACAUUUCAAAACAAAAGCCCCGGAGGGCAGGAACUACACCACCACCACGUCUUCUCCUCCUGUCGGGAUGCGACUGGCAUCGGGCCUGAACGUCACUUUACAACUUUCCCCUGGAUGGAGUCUGAGCCAAAAGAGCAUCAGAGCCACUUCCGAGUCAUUACCCUCUUUUGGCUUUGCAAACAUAUUGCACAAAUAUGUCAAUGCUGCACAACAACAACAACAACAAAAAGAAAAAGAAAAGAAAAAGCUUGCAAACACAGACCAUGCCAUCAAUAUUGUUGGGGGUGCGCUCACCUCGCGGGGCCGUCCCCUGCUGAGAAGUCUCUUCUGUGCUUGGACAGGUAUUGGAUUCUUGGAAAGGUCCCGAGCGCAGAGGCGGGCCCGCUGAUCAAUAGAGAAAAAAAGACGAAAGCUUCUCCACUAAUGCAGCUGCAAUUAUAAAAAAUCUGGGAUGCAGAAGCAAAAUAAGCAUUUUUCCAAAUUGCGAAAAAUGAUCAAGGUGUGUUUUUUUUCUUCAAUUUUGGGCAAAAAUGAUUUUGUGUCAUGACCUUCGAUGACCGUAAGAAACGUGUUUCAUUUCAAACAAGAACCCAAUUGUCUUUGAUUCUCAAAUGUUCUGCUGGUGCAUGGAUUAUAAUAAAGUAAAGUAACGUAA